rnacentral:rRNA from 1 species
AAGGAAUAUUGGUCAAUGGACGCAAGUCUGAACCAGCCAUGCCGCGUGGAGGAUGAAGGCCCUCUGGGUUGUAAACUUCUUUUAUGGGGGACGAAAUCACUUAUUCUUAAGUGUCUGACGGUACCCCAGGAAUAAGCACCGGCUAACUCCGUGCCAGCAGCCGCGGUAAUACGGAGGGCGCAAGCGUUAUCCAGAUUCACUGGGUUUAAAGGGUGCGUAGGAGGGUGUGUAAGUCAGUGGUGAAAUCUUCGAGCUUAACUCGGAAACUGCCGUUGAUACUACAUGUCUUGAAUAUCGUGGAGGUGAGCGGAAUAUGUCAUGUAGCGGUGAAAUGCUUAGAUAUGACAUAGAACACCAAUUGCGAAGGCAGCUCGCUACACGAAUAUUGACUCUGAGGCACGAAAGCGUGGGGAUCAAAC